UACGUAGGGGGCGAGCGUUGUCCGGAUUCAUUGGGCGUAAAGGGUGCGUAGGCGGCGCGGUAAGUCGGGUGUGAAAUCUCGGAGCUUAACUCCGAAACUGCAUUCGAUACUGCCGUGCUUGAGGACUGGAGAGGAGACUGGAAUUUACGGUGUAGCGGUGAAAUGCGUAGAUAUCAUAAGGAAGACCAGUGGCGAAGGCGGGUCUCUGGGCCGACAUUGACGCUGAGGAGCGAAAGCGUGGGGAGCGAACAGG
rnacentral:rRNA from 1 species